GACGAACGCUGGCGCCGUGCUUAACACAUGCAAGUCGAGCGGGGAACUUCGGUUCACAGCGGCGGACGGGUGAGUAACACGUGGGUAACCUGCCUUACAGUGGGGAAUAGCCUUCCGAAAGGAAGAUUAAUACCGCAUAAUACUCAGCGAUCACAUGAUCUUUGAGCCAAAGGAUUUAUUCGCUGUAAGAUGGACCCGCGGCGCAUUAGCUUGUUGGGGAGGUAACGGCUUACCAAGGCUUUGAUGCGUAGCCGACCUGUGAGGGGGAUCAGCCACAUUGGGACGGAGUCAGGGGCCAGACUCCUAGGGGGGACGACAGUGGGGAAGAUUGCACAAUGGAGGGAACUGUGAUGCAGCAACUCGUAGUGAGUGAUGAAGGUCUUCGGAUGGUAAAACUCUGUCUUGUGGGACGAUAAUGACGGUCCCAUAUGAGGAAGCCACGGCUAACUAGGUGCCAGCAGCCGCCGUAA
rnacentral:rRNA from 1 species